rnacentral:pre_miRNA from 1 species
GCUGGUGGCAAGCCCAGCCAUCGGCGAGGCUUGGCCUCACCAGAUCUGGUGAGGCCGAGUCUCGCUUGGGCUGGGCAAGCCUCGUGA